rnacentral:rRNA from 1 species
UACGGAGGGGGCUAGCGUUGUUCGGAAUUACUGGGCGUAAAGCGCGCGUAGGCGGCUUUGUAAGUUAGAGGUGAAAGCCCGGAGCUCAACUCCGGAACUGCCUUUAAGACUGCAUCGCUUGAAUCAUGGAGAGGUGAGUGGAAUUCCGAGUGUAGAGGUGAAAUUCGUAGAUAUUCGGAAGAACACCAGUGGCGAAGGCGACUCACUGGACAUGUAUUGACGCUGAGGUGCGAAAGCGUGGGGAGCAAACAGG